UCCUACGGGGGGCAGCAGUGGGGAAUAUUGCACAAUGGGCGCAAGCCUGAUGCAGCGACGCCGCGUGAGGGAUGACGGCCUUCGGGUUGUAAACCUCUUUCACCAGGGACGAAGCGUAAGUGACGGUACCUGGAGAAGAAGCACCGGCCAACUACGUGCCAGCAGCCGCGGUAAUACGUAGGGUGCGAGCGUUGUCCGGAAUUACUGGGCGUAAAGAGCUCGUAGGUGGUUUGUCGCGUUGUUCGUGAAAACUCACAGCUUAACUGUGGGCGUGCGGGCGAUACGGGCAGACUAGAGUACUGCAGGGGAGACUGGAAUUCCUGGUGUAGCGGUGGAAUGACGCAGAUAUCAGGAGGAACACCGGUGGCCGAAGGCCGGGUCUCUGGGCAGUAACUGACGCUGAGAAGCCGAAAGCCUUC
rnacentral:rRNA from 1 species